GGUGACAGUAUCGCCCCCUGCAGGUCCACAGGUGCCGGUGACGUCCGUGCUCCCUGCAGUUUUGCAGGCGGUAAAAGCGGUGCUGGAGCCCCAGGGGGCUGCAGUGACCCUCAGUGACAGAUGGGAGCCAGACCAGCAGGGGGCGCUGUCCAGGAACGAAGUCCCUACUGGGCUGCUGGAGAUGAACGCCUGGCUGGCCUCUCUCCAGAGCAUCGCUGACCGGAUGGAGAGGGAGAUCGAUGAGACCAAGAAGCUGAUCACCGCCAUAGAGAUGCUGGACCCCGCGGUCGACCCCGCGCCUAACGAUGUCUGUGAGGUCAUCAAUGCAGGGAUCACAGAGGAAGAGCCCAGGCAGCUUGCUGCUCCCACCCAACUCUGCCCAACCCGGUCAACCCACUGAGCACAUCACUUACUGUGGGAAGAACCAAUGAGCCUAUGAGGUGGACGAUACAUGGGAACCAAUAGGACGCCCUGGCUGGAUAAUAUGAGUGACGCAUAUGUUGUCCAGUACAAUCAGACUGUAAGCAUUGGAUCAUUUCAUUGGAUGGUUCCACACCUCAGGCUGAUUUGGAUCAUUUCAUUGGAUGGUUCCACACCUCAGACUGAUUUGGAUCAUUUCAUUAAAACAGGUCACGUGUGUCUCUGAAGACAUACAUUACAUACAGUAGUAGUGCUUAUUCUUAGAAUUGAAUAAAGCCAACAGAAUAAAGCCAUAAAACCUAUUUCCACUGAGCUCUUUCCCUUCUUGUGUUGGGCAGACAGAAACGACAGGUGUGCUGGAGACCAUAGCGCGGCGCAAGCAUGCAGUAAAUUCAUGAAGAGACGGAGAACAUCUGUCCUCUGGACAGGAAUGUAAAUGAAACAACAUGGAUGCUGUGAUCUUCCAACGUGAGGCUUUGUGCGGUAUCUAAAAACACGCUUUUCCCCUGAGGAGACCGUGUAAAACGGGCUCAGAGCUCCCCGUUACCGUGCCAUUCUCAGAGGAAAGGCCCCACCAGCGGAGCAGGGCCCUCUGCUCACAGGCUUUAGCAGUGGUUUUGCAUUUAGUGCAAUUUAAAACAGAAAUUGAACAGUUUUGUGACUAGAAAACUUCUCUGACAAACUAUCCCUUUUUUUAAGCAAAAAUGCCGUAAUUUAAAAAGUCCUUGAAG